GACGAACGCUGGCGGCGUGCUUAACACAUGCAAGUCGAACGAUGAAGCUGGAGCUUGCUCUGGUGGAUUAGUGGCGAACGGGUGAGUAACACGUGAGUAACCUGCCCUUGACUCUGGGAUAAGCGCUGGAAACGGCGUCUAAUACCGGAUACGAGCUUCCACCGCAUGGUGAGUUGCUGGAAAGAAUUUCGGUCAAGGAUGGACUCGCGGCCUAUCAGCUUGUUGGUGAGGUAACGGCUCACCAAGGAGACGACGGGUAGCCGGCCGGAGAGGGUGACCGGCCACGCUGGGACUGAGACACGGCCCAGACUCCUACGGGAGGCAGCAGUGGGGAAUAUUGCACAAUGGGCGCAAGCCUGAUGCAGCAACGCCGCGUGAGGGACGAAGGCCUUCGGGUCGUAAACCUCUUUUAGCAGGGAAGAAGCGAAAGUGACGGUACCUGCAGAAAAAGCACCGGCUAACUACGUGCCAGCCGCCGCAGUAA
rnacentral:rRNA from 1 species